rnacentral:rRNA from 1 species
AUUGAACGCUGGCGGCAUGCCUUACACAUGCAAGUCGAACGGCAGCACGGGAGCAAUCCUGGUGGCGAGUAGCGAACGGGUGAGUAAUAUAUCGGAACGUGCCCAGUAGUGGGGGAUAGCCCGGCGAAAGCCGGAUUAAUACCGCAUACGACCUGUGGGUGAAAGCGGGGGAUCGCAAGACCUCGCGCUAUUGGAGCGGCCGAUAUCAGAUUAGCUUGUUGGUGGGGUAAAAGCCCACCAAGGCGACGAUCAGUAGCUGGUCUGAGAGGAUGAUCAGCCACACUGGGACUGAGACACGGCCCAGACUCCUACGGGAGGCAGCAGUGGGGAAUUUUGGACAAUGGGGGCAACCCUGAUCCAGCAAUGCCGCGUGAGUGAAGAAGGCCUCGGUUGUAUGCUCUUUGUCUAGGGAGAAACGGUUGAGGCUAAUAUCCUCGGCUAAUGACGGUACCUGAAGAAUAAGACACCGGCUAACUACGU